AUUGAACGCUGGCGGCAUGCCUUACACAUGCAAGUCGAACGGCAGCACGGGAGCAAUCCUGGUGGCGAGUGGCGAACGGGUGAGUAAAGUAUCGGAACGUGCCCAGUCGUGGGGGAUAACGUAGCGAAAGUUACGCUAAUACCGCAUACGAUCUAUGGAUGAAAGCGGGGGAUCGCAAGACCUCGCGCGAUUGGAGCGGCCGAUAUCAGAUUAGGUAGUUGGUGGGGUAAAGGCUCACCAAGCCGACGAUCUGUAGCUGGUCUGAGAGGACGACCAGCCACACUGGGACUGAGACACGGCCCAGACUCCUACGGGAGGCAGCAGUGGGGAAUUUUGGACAAUGGGCGCAAGCCUGAUCAGCCAUGCCGCGUGCAGGAUGAAGGCCUUCGGGUUGUAAACUGCUUUUGUACGGAACGAAAAGGUUUGGCUUAAUACGUUGAACUCAUGACGGUACCGUAAGAAUAAGCACCGGCUAACUACGUGCCAGCCGCCGCAGUAA
rnacentral:rRNA from 1 species